rnacentral:rRNA from 1 species
UAGGGAAUAUUGGCCAAUGGGGGCAACCCUGAUCCAGCCAUGCCGCGUGAGGGAAGAAGGUCCUCUGGAUUGUAAACCUCUUUUGGCGGGGAAUAAACCUGCGCUAUACGCGCAGCUGAAGGUACCCGCAGAAUAAGCACCGGCUAACUCCGUGC